GACGAACGCUGGCGGCGUGCUUAACACAUGCAAGUCGAACGGAAAGGCCUCUUUCGGGGGGUACUCGAGUGGCGAACGGGUGAGUAACACGUGAGUAACCUGCCCUUGACUUUGGGAUAACUUCAGGAAACUGGGGCUAAUACCGGAUAGGAGCUCCUGCUGCAUGGUGGGGGUUGGAAAGUUUCGGCGGUUGGGGAUGGACUCGCGGCUUAUCAGCAUUUUGGUGGGGUAGUGGCUUACCAAGGCUUUGACGGGUAGCCGGCCUGAGAGGGUGACCGGCCACAUUAGGACUGAGAUACGGCCCAGACUCCUACGGGAGGCAGCAGUGGGGAAUAUUGCACAAUGGGUGGAAGCCUGAUGCAGCAACGCCGUGUGCGGGAUGACGGCCUUCGGGUUGUAAAACGCUUUCGCUCAUGACGAAGCUUUGUGUGACGGUAGUGGGUAAAGAAGCACCGGCUAACUACGUG
rnacentral:rRNA from 1 species